GCUACUCCCCUUUGCCACUGAAAGCUUGUUCCACUUACUGACCAAGAAUUUGGACUGGAAUAUAAGCCCAGACAAUGAGAAGAAUGAAGGAUGGGUCUGGAUAGUAUACUUUCCAAAUAAUAGAGGUCUUACCCUGGUGUUGAUAGUCGCUAAACUUCUCUGGGGUGGCUGCAUGGGUGCAGGAGGGCAGAGAGGAGCUACUCUACAUCCAAGGUCAGGAGGGGUGGCUGUGAGGAGAUACCCCUCAUCCAAGGUAAGGAGCAGUGGCUGCGCUUUGCUGGAGCAGCCACAAAGAGAUACCCUACGUCCAAGGUAAGAGAAUCUCAAGUAAGAUGGUAGGUGUUGUGAGAGGCAUCAAAAGGCAGACACACAAACCAUAAUCACAGAAAACAGGUCAACCUAAUCACACUAGGACCACAGCCUUGUCUAACUCAAUGAAACUAAGCCGUG
ensembl:lncRNA